rnacentral:rRNA from 1 species
GACGAACCGUGCGACCGUUGUUCGGAUUCACUGGGCUUAAAGGGCGCGUAGGCGGGUGGCCAAGUCGGGGGUGAAAUCCUUCAGCUUAACUGAAGAACAGCCUUCGAUACUGGUCGUCUGGAGGGGGGUAGGGGCAGACGGAACUUCCGGUGGAGCGGUGAAAUGCGUAGAUAUCAAGCGGAACACCAGUGGCGAAGGCGAGUCCCUGGACAACUCCUGACACUGAUGCACGAAAGCUAGGGGAGCAAACAGG